ACUGGCUCCGCGUCGGCCGGUCGGUUUGGUCGGUUGUAGUGGCCUCGCCGCCCGGUCCGCUGUCGCAGCGCUCAUCCGCGCCGGGAGCCCUUGGCUGCGUCGCCCGGCAGCCGCGGGAGCAUUUCCUGAAGACGUAGUCAUGCAGCACGUCAGCAGCUCCCAGAGCAGCCAGCGCCAUGUCCAGUGGCCUGGGGCCUGCCCCGGCGCGGGCGAGGAGCAGCCAGCGUGCUCCCAGCCGUCCCUGCCCCUCACACUGCCAUCCCCCAGCCACCAACUACAGCAGCUGAUGGUCCAGACCCAGAGUCCCACGCAGCCCAGUCCGGGGCCGGGGCAGGCCUUGCAGAAUGUGCGUGCAGGUGCCCCUGGCCCUGGGCUGGGCCUCUGCAGCAGCAGCCCUACAGGGGACUUCGUGGAUGCCAGCGUGCUGGUGAGGCAGAUCAGCUUGAGCCCCUCCAGUGGUGGACACUUUGUGUUUCAGGAUGGGUCAGGGCUCACCCAGAUCGCCCAGGGAGCCCAGGUUCAGCUCCAGCACCCGGGUACGCCCAUCACAGUCCGAGAGCGGAGACCCUCCCAGCCCCACACACAGUCAGGGGGCACCAUCCACCACCUGGGACCCCAGAGCCCUGCAGCCGCGGGUGGGGCCGGCCUGCAGCCCCUGGCCAGCCCAAGCCACAUCACCACGGCUAACUUGCCACCGCAGAUCAGCAGCAUCAUCCAGGGCCAGCUGGUUCAGCAGCAGCAGGUGCUGCAGGGGCCGCCGCUGCCCCGGCCCCUGGGCUUCGAGAGGACGCCCGGCGUGCUGCUCCCCGGGGCUGGGGGCGCAGCGGGGUUUGGGAUGACGUCCCCACCCCCGCCCACCAGCCCUUCCAGGACUGCCGUGCCCCCAGGCCUUUCCAGCCUCCCACUCACGUCUGUGGGGAACACGGGAAUGAAGAAGGUUCCCAAGAAGUUAGAGGAGAUUCCCCCAGCCUCUCCGGAGAUGGCACAGAUGAGGAAGCAGUGCCUGGACUAUCAUCACCAGGAGAUGCAGGCUCUGAAGGAGGUCUUCAAGGAGUAUUUGAUUGAACUGUUUUUCUUGCAACACUUUCAAGGGAACAUGAUGGAUUUCUUAGCUUUCAAGGAGAGACUGUAUGGACCAUUACAAGCAUAUCUUAGGCAGAAUGAUUUGGACAUUGAAGAAGAGGAAGAGGAGCACUUUGAAGUCAUUAAUGAUGAGGUAAAGGUUGUGGCCAGAAAGCACGGGCAGCCUGGGACUCCUGUUGCCAUAGCAACCCAGCUACCGCCGAGGACUUCUGCGGCUUUUCCAGCCCAGCAGCAGCCGCUCCAGGUACUUUCUGAUGGCUCCACAGUGCAGCUCCCCAGACUUUCCUCACUCGGAUUUGAGGACUCGAUGUGCUGAGGCAGGACCCAGAGGGGUCCCAAGAGCCUGUCCUCUUUUGUUCAAAAUACAUCUUGAAACGUCUUUGUGAAGGCUCUUAGUUUUAAUGCAUGGAUGCUGUUAUUUUUCCCUACUGUUACUGAAAUUAAAAAGUGUUUGUCUCUGA
rnacentral:lncRNA from 1 species